GUGCUCACUUCAGCAGCACAUAUACUAAAAUUAGAACAAUACAGAGAAGAUUAGCGUGGCCCCUGUACAAGGAUGACAUGCAAAUUAGUGAAGCAUUCCAUAUUUUU
rnacentral:snRNA from 1 species